rnacentral:rRNA from 1 species
AAGCGCUUGCAACCAGACUUGCGCGCGAUGGUUCCCCCUUCCUUCUGGUUGGGCUACUUCCCCGUGACCGGGCCAUCAUCAGUUUUGGGGGCGGGUUAAAGGCCUUGGGAAUGUAUCUACUCCUUCGGGGGUAGACUUAUAGCCCUCGGUGUCAUGCCGCCUCCCGGGACUGAGGAACGCGCUUCGGCGAGGAUGAUGGCGUAAUGGUUGUCUGCGA